CUUCGUGAGGGCAGUGUGUUUGAGGGCACGAGUCUGAGCAGUGAGGCCUCUCAGUGCUUUGAGGAUCUCUUCCGGAGCCACCUUUUGCUGGAAGACUGUUUACCCUGCAGGACUUCUGCCUUGUUCCCCAGAAGCUUUGCUGAGGGACAGUCCCUGCAGAGCAAGCCUGAACUUCUUAACCUGUCUCAAGGCUACUUAGAGACCUGUUACAGAUAGCAGAUUCUGGCUUCAAAACUACUGCCUGGAUUAAAGCAUGCUGCUAGAACAGAUGCUGGUGACAGCUGAGGAAAUCCUCCUGCAGUAAGUCAAGGCUUUUAGUUGAGCCAGGACACCUGGGCUGAGGCUUUGUAGCCUAACAGUCUCUCGUGUAAUGUGAAGGCCCUCUGUGUGAGGAGGUUCCAGUGGAGCUGGGACAGCAGCACGUUCCCUUUAUUGCCAUUUGUCCUGUGCCACAUGCUUCAGUGAAGGAGUUAUGUAAAUUCUGCAGGAAAAAAAGUCUUUAGGAAAUGUAUUGUGCUUUAGUCAGGAAACUUUCAGCUUUAAAAGAACAUUCUGGGGCUGUUGGGAAAUUAAAUCCUCAGACACCUCACCACUUACCCUGCAAUGCUCUCAGCACACCAUAGCUGGCAGUAGUUGAGCUUCUGAUGAAGCAAGGGUGGGAACCAGAACAUCUGAGUAAAGCUGCUUCCUCCUUCAGCUCCCCUGGGCCCCCUUGGGCAAGAGUAGAGAUGAAACAGGGAGAAGAAUACUUCUGAUUCAUCCAACCAUCCCCUGCCAGAGAGCCUUGUUCAUAUCUAGUCUGGUUCUGUUAUCUCACUGGGGUCCUGGUGUUUCCUUGGGAAGACUGUUUCACCAACUGUUAGGCUUCAUGACUAAGGAUUUCCCACCAGUCUUUUCAUUGCAUUACCGCCUUCCUCUGACUGCUAGAGUCAUCGUGGUGUGUGCCUGCUGCCCUGCAGAUAACAGCCUUGCAGAUCCAAAGGGAUUCUGAGAUUAUAUUUCCUCUUACGUACUGUUAUUUAGCUUUGUAUUUAAAGCUGUCAUUUCUUGCUUCUUGAUUAGCUCGCUGAUAGUAGGUAUUUCAACUACCGUUUGCUUUCUGAGGUUAAACCAGAGGUGGCAUUUGGCAGUAAGCAUCCCUCCCUGGGGCCUUUGGAUAUCACUGCAGGCUGAAUUUUCUCCCUCCCUCAGGUUCAGAGGUACAGUUGCAGUAUUGAAGUCUUUGUGUUCCACAACUGGAUGUUAAGAUACAGGAGUUCCCUUUCCAUUGUAGGGGGAGCUGUGUGAAGGAAGGAGCUAGAGGUGGCAUAUCAUGGGUGGAGAACUGCAAACCAAGGACUGAAGGCUUACGAAGCAGCGAACACUGAGCCUUAG
ensembl:lncRNA